UAACACGUAGGGGGCAAGCGUUGUUCGGAAUCAUUGGGCGUAAAGGGUGCGCAGGCGGCUUAGCAAGUCUGGUGUGAAAGGCCUCGGCUCAACCGAGGAAACGCAUUGGAAACUGUUAAGCUAGAGUACAGGAGGGGGAGUUGGAAUUCCAGGUGUAGGGGUGAAAUCUGUAGAUAUCUGGAAGAACACCGGUGGCGAAGGCGAACUCCUGGCCAUGUACUGACGCUGAGGCACGAAGGCGUGGGGAGCAAACAGGUUUAGAUACCCUGGUAGUCCACGCAGUAAACGAUGUACACUAGGUGGUGGGUGGUAGCACUCAGUACCGAAGCUAACGCAUUAAGUGUACCGCCUGGGGAGUAUGCUCGCAAGGGUG
rnacentral:rRNA from 1 species